UAUUUCAAUUGGUUUUAAAGGGGUCAUAGGAUGCCCAUUUUCCAAGUUGAUAUGAUUCUAUAGGGUCUUAAUGAAAAGUCUAUAACAUAAAAUUUCUCAGUGGUAGAGUAAAAAACACCUUUUUUUACCCUGUCAAAAACAGCUCUUUUCAGAGCAUGCAGUUUUGUUGCAUUUUCCUUUAAAUGUUAAUGAGCUCUGCUCUGCUCUCUUCCACUGCUCUCUGAGGGAACGUUAGCACAUUCAUCAUGAAACUUGCUUAUUAGCACAUUAUUAGGAAAGGCGAUUUGCAAAGAUUCAUUUAAAAAAAAAAAACAACAACAACACUCACUUCUUCUGUAGGUGAAGCUGGAUCACAAAAGAAUUGCGCGAACAUUUAUGUAGCUCUGUGGCGCAUUCUCUUCAAAAACAAAUGUAAUUCACUGUGUCAUCAGCGGCUUACAUGUCAAGAGUAAAUGACGACUGCUAUGUUCAUUAUUACAUCCAACAACAGAACACGUCAAUCACUUAGGAGUCAUUCUUGUCUACAUCUGCUCCGGCGGUGAAACAAUGGCGGACCGAUAACAGCUCACUCAGGGCGGGUCCAAGGGAAAUGUCAUCAAAACAAUUUGCUGAAACCUGAAGAAGAAGCAUCUGCGAUAUGAGAUAUGGGGAAAGAAACAUCAACACCAGUUCCACGCUAAAAAACAAUGGUGGAGAAACAAUUUUUACUCAGAAAUUAAUAGUAUCACAAUAAUUUUUUAUGAAGAAAUGUCAAGUAAACAUUGAAUUAAA
ensembl:lncRNA